CCUACGGGAGGCAGCAGUAGGGAAUUUUCGGCAAUGGGGGGAACCCUGACCGAGCAACGCCGCGUGAACGAAGAAGUUAUUCGUAAUGUAAAGUUCUUUUAACAGGGAAGAAAGAGAAAUUUGACGGUACCUGAAGAAUAAGCUCCGGCUAACUACGUGCCAGCAGCCGCGGUAAUACGUAGGUGGCAAGCGUUGUCCGGAUUUACUGGGUGUAAAGGGCGUGUAGCCGGGAAGGCAAGUCAGAUGUGAAAUCCGGAGGCUCAACCUCCGAAUUGCAUUUGAAACUGUUUUUCUUGAGUACUGGAGAGGCAGACGGAAUUCCUUGUGUAGCGGUGAAAUGCGUAGAGAUAAGGAGGAACACCAGUGGCGAAGGCGGUCUGCUGGACAGCAACUGACGGUGAGGCGCGAAAGCGUGGGGAGCAAACAGGAUUAGAUACCCCAGUAGUC
rnacentral:rRNA from 1 species